ensembl:snoRNA small nucleolar RNA, H/ACA box 16A
CAAUGGUUUUAGCGAAGCUGGGGGGUCUCCUUGCCCCCCAGCAGCCAAAUCGAACGCUAUAGUGACGUUUUAUAGGCUUACAGUCCAAAAAUACAUAU